UUAGGAAUUUUGCACAAUGGGGGAAACCCUGAUGCAGCAACGCCGCGUGGAUGAUGAAGGCCUUCGGGUCGUAAAAUCCUUUUCAACGGGAAGAUACAGACGGUACCGUUGGAAUAAGCUUCGGCUAACUACGUGCCAGCAGCCGCGGUAAUACGUAGGAAGCGAGCGUUAUCCGGAUUUACUGGGCGUAAAGAGCGCGUAGGUGGUUUCAUAAGUUGGACGUGAAAGCCCCCGGCUUAACUGGGGAGGGUCGUUCAAUACUGUGGAACUUGAGGGUGGAAGAGGAAACUGGAAUUCCCGGUGUAGUGGUGAAAUGCGUAGAUAUCGGGAGGAACACCUGUGGCGAAGGCGAGUUUCUAGGCCACUUCUGACACUGAGGCGCGAAAGCGUGGGGAGCGAACGGA
rnacentral:rRNA from 1 species